rnacentral:snRNA from 1 species
GUACUUGCUUCAGCAGCACAUAUACUAAAAUUGGAAUGAUACAGAGAAGAUUAGCAUGGCCCCUGUGCAAGGAUAACAAGUUUUAUAACAUUUAA